rnacentral:rRNA from 1 species
AUUGAACGCUGGCGGCAGGCCUAACACAUGCAAGUCGAGCGAGCGGCGGGCGGGAGAGUAAUGUAUGGGGCCUGCCCGAUAGAGGGGGAUACUUACUGGAAACGGUGGCUAUAACCGCAUACUAUCGGCUAACCCCUAUGGGAUUAGCUAGUAGGUGGGGAAAAGGCUCACCUAGGCGACGAUCCCUAGCGGGUCUGAGAGGAUGAUCAGCCACACGGGAACUGAGACACGGCCCAGAUUCCUACGGAGGCAGCAGAAGGGAAUAUUGCACAAUGGGCGAAAGCCUGAUGGAGCCAUGCGGCGUGUAUGAAGAAGGUCUUAGGGUUGUAAAGUACUUUCAGCGGGGAGGCGUUACCCGCAGAGGAAGCACCGGCUAACUCCGUGCCAGCAGCCGCGGUAAUAC